rnacentral:rRNA from 1 species
UACGAAGGGGGCUAGCGUUGCUCGGAAUGACUGGGCGUAAAGGGCGCGUAGGCGGCUCAUACAGUCAGAUGUGAAAUUCCUGGGCUUAACCUGGGGGCUGCAUUUGAUACGUGUGGGCUUGAGUGGGGAAGAGGGUCGUGGAAUUCCCAGUGUAGAGGUGAAAUUCGUAGAUAUUGGGAAGAACACCGGUGGCGAAGGCGGCGACCUGGUCCUUGACUGACGCUCAUGCACGAAAGCGUGGGGAGCAAACAGG